rnacentral:rRNA from 1 species
UUGAGAGUUUGAUCCUGGCUCAGAACGAACGCUGGCGGCAGGCCUAACACAUGCAAGUCGAGCGCGCCUUUCGGGGUGAGCGGCGGACGGGUUAGUAACGCGUGGGAAUAUACCCUUUUCUACGGAAUAGCCUCUGGAAACGGAGAGUAAUACCGUAUGAGCCCUUCGGGGGAAAGAUUUAUCGGGAAAGGAUUAGCCCGCGUUAGAUUAGGUAGUUGGUGGGGUAAUGGCCUACCAAGCCUACGAUCUAUAGCUGGUUUUAGAGGAUGAUCAGCCACACUGGGACUGAGACACGGCCCAGACUCCUACGG